ensembl:lncRNA
UUCCCUGACAAAUCCAACUAAAUAUUAUUAGUACUUUUUCAUACCCUGAAAAGUCAUUAUGACUGUAGUUCAUUUUAAAGGGACUUAUUAUGAUAACAGGGUUGACAGCCUGGGAACAACUUCAGAUAUUUUAGUAAACUAUUAUUAUUAUUUUUUUUAUUUUUUUAAGUAUUAAAACAUUCUGAAAUAUUAUAAAAUAUUGAAAUGUAAAAUCAUUCUCAAAGUGCUUCUCAGUAUAGUUAUACAGUAUUCAACAAUUAACAAUGCUGAUAUUUCUACAGAUUUUUUUACUAUACAAAAUUGUGGUAUCAAGGUCGAUUAACAUUAUCCCCUGCAGACAACACCCAACAAAAUAUAAUUUUUUAUAAUUUUUAAUUUCUAUAUUAAAAUAAUUCCUCUAUUACUAUAAUGUUUGGGUGGAAAAUGUGCAGAAUUUUCAUGAAAAUACUGUCAAAGUGCAAAACAUCUUAAUGCAGGAAAAGAAUCUUUAAAGAGAAAUGUAAUGAAUCUUCAUGGGAUUCAUCCUGUUUAAGGGUAUAAAGAACAUGUCUUUGUAGCCCCACAGCAUUUAUGAUACAGUUUCCUGUAUUACAUACGAAUUGAUCUGUUUCACCACUGCAUGCCCAGCUCUCAGUCAAAAAAGAAGAAAACAGGCGAGGAGAAAUGAUCCGUGUUCUACGGAUUGCCUAAGGCAUGAAUUAGUUUCCACCUGCCCUCCUCUGUUACGCACUUAGCACCCUCUUUUUCUCUGUAAUGGCAGUUGGCGAAAGCCAGGGGCUAAAAAAACCUCUUUCUGUUCACUGGUUUGUUUUGAAGGCUGAGUGUGGAGAUGGCCAUGGAUAAUUUCGCCGGGUUAACUACUCUGACCUAAAGACUGAACCAGCAGCACAGCAACAGGGCGAACAUCAGUAUGGACCCUUGGUGCGUGCAACGGGUCGCGACCUCUUUACACGCGGCCCCGCGGAGGCCCGGGUCAGCACACACCUGAACCCUACCCCUCGCACUGGGCAUCCGGGCUCAGAGCCACUGAACCAGCCUGACCUCCACUCCACACUCUUACUCCUCAGAGACUUUACAAACAACACAGGAGACACACACUGGCACUUUGUUAACAUAUACUUCACAGUCUGCAGCCAGCCAGGGGAAAUAUAGACAGAGAUGAAUGUAUAGACACUCAGUUUAUAGAUGAUAUAUGGGCUGAAUUUGUAUGCAUGAUGGCAAGAAACUCUCAUUAGCUAUUUGCUUUAUUAGAGAUAUUGCUGUUCAUGUUAGAGUGAUUAUACACAUGUAAAAAACAAUUUUUCAAAGUUCUAAAUAAAACAAAGAUUAUUGAAUACACUUUACAUUUAAUUUAGCGUUACUUAGCAUUUCUUU